GGGGUUGUGGCUCAGCGGCACAGUGCUCGCCUCAUUUGUGAGGGACCCUGGGUUCCAUCCUCAGCACUACA
rnacentral:tRNA from 1 species